rnacentral:rRNA from 1 species
UAGGGAAUCUUCCACAAUGGGCGCAGCCUGAUGGAGCAACGCCGCGUGAGUGAAGAAGGUCUUCGGAUCGUAAAACUCUGUUGUUAGAGAAGAACAUGCGAGAGAGUAACUGUUCUUGUAUUGACGGUAUCUAACCAGCAAGUCACGGCUAACUACGUGCCAG